rnacentral:rRNA from 1 species
ACAAGCGGUGGAGCAUGUGGUUUAAUCGAAGCAACGCGAAGAACCUUUACCAGGUCUUGACAUCCCGAUGCUAUUUCUAGAGAUAGAAAGUUACUUCGGUACAUCGGUGACAGGUGGUGCAUGGUUGUCGUCAGCUCGUGUCGUGAGAUGUUGGGUUAAGUCCCGCAACGAGCGCAACCCCUAUUGUUAGUUGCCAUCAUUCAGUUGGGCACUCUAGCGAGACUGCCGGUAAUAAACCCGGAGGAAGUGGGAUGACGUCAAAUCAUCAUGCCCCUUAUGACCUGGGCUACACACGUGCUACAAUGGUUGGUACAACGAGUUGCGAGUCGGUGACGGCGAGCUAAUCUCUUAAAGCCAAUCUCAGUUCGGAUUGUAGGCUGCAACUCGCCUACAUGAAGUCGGAAUCGCUAGUAAUCGCGGAUCAGCACGCCGCGGUGAAUACGUUCCCGGGCCUU